AUCCCAUGGAGAGGGCAUUUAUAUAGUAAUUCCUUAAAUCUUUCCCAUGCCUCGUAUAAGGGUUCAUCAUCCAAUUGCUAAAAAGUAGUGAUUUCAUUUCACAACUU
rfam:Gossypium arboreum cultivar AKA8401 contig_26260_3, whole genome shotgun sequence.